rnacentral:rRNA from 1 species
AGGAUCAUUAACGUAUUGUUGGGGGGUUAGAUGCUGGCCUGCGAAGGCACCUGCUCGCCCCUGUACUCUAAAUCCACAUACACCUGUGCACCUUCAGCGAGCGCCUCCCGUUCGGAGCCGUCCGGCGUUCGUGCGUCGGACCGGGGCGCUCCCUGCCUUAAUACACCACAGCCUGUCUUAUAACGCAUGUGAUGGCCCCACGGGGCAGAAGCCUAUACAACUUUCAACAACGGAUCUCUUGGCUUUCGCAUCGAUGAAGAACGCCGCGAAAGUGCGAAACGUAAUGUGAAUUGCAGAAUUCAGUGAAUCAUCGAAUCUUUGAACGCACCUUGCGCUCCUUGGUAUUCCGAGGAGCAUGCCUGUUUGAGUGUCGUGAACUCCCUCAACCUUGCUUCUUUGUUGAAGUGGGUUUGGAUUUGGACGCCUGCGGCCCUCUGGCGCCGCUCGUCUUUAAAUGCAUUAGCUGGUCCCUCUGGUCGGUCCGACGGCGGUGUGAUAACAAACGCUUUCGUUGACCGUGGCGCCGCUUGUCGCCGGCCCGGGCCGCUUACAAUCGUCUUCGGACAAGCCUUUUCAUGUCAUCAGACCUCAGAUCAGGUAGGACUACCCGCUGAACUUAAGCAUAUCAA